CUGGACGGGAGAAGACAGCUGCCUGGUGGGGACACCUUGGUAUACCGCCCUCUGGGCUUCCCUGAAAAGAAGGCUACCGGACAAAGAGGGGUGGGGGAAAGAAGAAUGUAAAGACAACACUGGAGCCAAAGGCUAAGCAGCAGACUCAGGUGGAGGAGCCGAUCUGAUGGGGAGAGGCCUUAUCGAUCCACUACACAAAUGGACGGCUACCAUUUGUUGCAUUCCUCAACCGUGCCUGCAUUUACAUAAUUCUAACAACCCUGAGAGUGCUCCCUUUCAAGAACUGCCUCGGGGUUCCUGUUGCAGCAUCAGACAAGAAUGGAAGACGCAGCUGGGGUUAGCAGUGGGAGCCUGUAAAGCCUGAGUCCCUGGGGGCGCAGGGCAUACAGAAUCCUGCACUGAGCCCAGAGCACAACAAGGGGGCCUGGGCCUCACACUUGGAUGGGGAGCAGCAGACAGAUGUGUGGGCCUCAGGGGCAGACACACGGAGAUGGCCAUGCAGAUGUGCCUGAGAGCACACAGAAGCUCACACACACUGGUCGCUUGCACACAUGGCUCCAGCGUGCAUCCAGAGAGCAGCUCUCGUGCACAUAUGAGCAGGUGUACACACACACGGCUGGCAUGUCAACAGACACGCCCAAACACACAAACACCCCAGAGACACACCCAGACAUUUCUGGCAAAGACCAUCAUUUUGUCCUCAGCUUCUUGCCACUGAGAAUCUACUGGUUCCAUCUCUGAAUGUCUCACCUGACUGUCCCUCUUCCCAACCUACCACAGCCCCUGUUCCCUUGAGCCCCCACUGGGCCUCUGGACAACGGCAAUGGUGUCCCGGCUGGGACCCCGCCCCGCAUCCUGGCACACUCUGGUUCAUUGGACACACAGGAGCAGGGGGCCUCUGGGCAUUCAGGCAGAUCUGAUGGCAUCACUCUCCUGCUUUAAAACCCAUCCGAGGCCUCCCCUUUCCCACCAGAGGUAGCUUAGAUCACCUGCAUCACACAUAAGGCCCUUGGCGAUCUGGCUUCCAGUCCGGGGGUGAGCUGGCAUGGAGCGCUGUGCCCUGGGUGCCGCAGCUGUGGGACUCCCUCAGGAAGCUGCCCUGCAUGCCUCACAGGGCUCACUCUUGCUCACACGCCGCGAGAAAUGCCCUCUUCCCCACUGCCCCGGGUUCGGGUGCUAAACCACCACUUGGCCACCCUCCCAGGCCCAGGUCAGUCACGUCUCUCCACUUCACCCUGACCUUCAAGGCUCCACUGUGCUGCCCCACUAUUUCACAGGCCCUUCGUUGGCCUCUCCGGUGUCACUGUCCUCUGUGUGCGACAGCUUCUCCCACAGAACUCCAAGCGGGCUGGUACACAGACCCAAAGGUACUGGUGCUCAACGAGUUUCUGGGUGUGAGUGAGUGAAUGAAUUGGCAUGUGGGCCAUCCGAUCACCCUGGGUGAUCUCGCCUGGCUAGGUGAGCAAGCUCUGGCAUGCGCAUGCGUGGUGACUUCUUGAGCUCCGCCCCCACACCGCUGAAUGGGGGUACUGAGGGCUCCCCACGGUUGAUGGUGCGGGCUCUCGGGUUGUAUGGAGAGAAGAAGGGUGAGUGGCUAACGCGGGGUGGGCGCUCCAUAAAUAAUAGCCGAGCUUGCUGUUGCCAAUUUCUAUUUUUAUUUCCACCGAGGCCUUCCCAUUACUGUUUUCUGAUUCUCAUCCCCCUCGCCAUCCCUUCAGUUGAGUGCUGGGCUCCCAGAAUGGACUCACUUGACGGUUCACCACAGGACGGGUGGACGACGUGGCUUCU